UACGAAGGGGGCUAGCGUUGCUCGGAAUCACUGGGCGUAAAGCGCACGUAGGCGGAUUGCUAAGUCAGGGGUGAAACCCUGGAGCUCAACUCCAGAACUGCCUUUGAUACUGGCAACCUUGAGUCCGGGAGAGGUGAGUGGAACUGCGAGUGUAGAGGUGAAAUUCGUAGAUAUUCGCAAGAACACCAGUGGCGAAGGCGGCUCACUGGCCCGGUACUGACGCUGAGGUGCGAAAGCGUGGGGAGCAAACAGG
rnacentral:rRNA from 1 species